UGGGGAAUAUUGGACAAUGGGGGAAACCCUGAUCCAGCAAUGCCGCGUGAAUGAUGAAGGCCUUAGGGUUGUAAAGUUCUUUCACCUGUGAAGAUAAUGACGGUAGCAGGAGAAGAAGCCCCGGCAAACUCCGUGCCAGCAGCCGCGGUAAUACGGAGGGGGCUAGCGUUGUUCGGAAUGACUGGGCGUAAAGGGCGCGUAGGCGGUUUAUUAAGUGAGGCGUGAAAGCCCUGGGCUUAACCCAGGAGGUGCGUUUCAUACUGGUAAGCUAGAGUGCGAGAGAGGAAAGUGGAAUUCCUAGUGUAGAGGUGAAAUUCGUAGAUAUUAGGAAGAACACCAGAGGCGAAGGCGGCUUUCUGGCUCGCAACUGACGCUGAGGCGCGAAAGCGUGGGGAGCAAACAGG
rnacentral:rRNA from 1 species